rnacentral:piRNA from 1 species
AUUGGGGACGGCUAAGAGCUUCAAU